UACGAAGGGGGCUAGCGUUGCUCGGAAUUACUGGGCGUAAAGCGCACGUAGGCGGCUUGUUAAGUCAGGGGUGAAAUCCUGGAGCUCAACUCCAGAACUGCCUUUGAUACUGGAGAUCUUGAGUUCGGGAGAGGUGAGUGGAACUGCGAGUGUAGAGGUGAAAUUCGUAGAUAUUCGCAAGAACACCAGUGGCGAAGGCGGCUCACUGGCCCGAUACUGACGCUGAGGCACGAAAGCGUGGGGAGCAAACAGG
rnacentral:rRNA from 1 species